AAGAGGUGUAUGAACUAAUUGACCUGCUAACUCAAACAACUGAAGAUAAAAUCUCCGGACCUCUUA
rnacentral:tRNA from 1 species